GGAGGAGGAGGCGGAGGGUGAUGCAGGCCUCGUGUGGCCGGUCGAGCGCUUCCGCUCCGCCGUGGGAGAGGCCUGCAGGUGGGGUGGCCGCUUUCCCGCCCCCCUGGCCCGGAGUGAACCGCUGUGGCCGCCCUCUGUCCCGGCUUCAACCCGCGCAGAGUGGCAGAGGGAAGCGGGGCUGCCCCGGCUGAGGGGAGCGCGCUCGGUGACAGGAAUGCGAGCCUGGAGCGCGCGUGUGGGGCUGCCCGGCUCUGUCGUGACAGGAACCUCACAUAAACGGCCAAACAGUGAGGGUAGGGCUACCGCCACCUCAGUCGUGACAGGAACCUCACGUAAACGGCCAGCGAGGGCUGGGCUGCCGCCACCUCAGUCGUGACAAAAAACAGGCAAAGGGUGAGUUGAGGGGCUGUACUGUGAGGACAGGAGCCUCACCCCGCCACGGAUCCGCCAGGGGCGAGGAUAGGAAGCGCGGCUACGUGCCUCCCUGCCGGCACCAGAGGGGUUCGUUCCCCAGAGGUCCCGCUGGGCUGUGCGGGGCCUGUGCUGGCACAGCCGUGUCUUUCACACGACUUCCCCAAUUCCCGCUGCGCCGCACGCUGCCCCUGCCAGCAUAACAGUGACACGCACACUCAGCCCUGGCUUGCACGGUGAUAACGCGAGGAGGUAUGAACUGCACAGUGUGAUUUCAGCAGUGUGCGUGGUGUGAGAUAGCAGCUUCCCUCAGCGCAGCAUCUCCGUAAGUGGCAGAGACUCAAAAACAGACACAGAAUGCUGAAAACAGACUGAUUUAGCCAUCCUACCCCUUAAUUCACAGAGACUUCAAUGAAUGCAGUAUGAGCUGUUAGAUCAGCACCGUCUGACAUCAGUGACACCAGCAAUGUCACCAGCAAUAGCAAACAGUACAGAGCACAGUAUAAAUUCCCUUAAAAGCACUUGGUUUCAACCAGCUCUUAUGCAUGUGCAAAUACAAGAGCUGAUCUGUUCAUGUGUGCUGGCUUACAUAAAUGCAGAUCCUACAUACAAGCUGCACAUCCAUCGCUGCUAAAAACCACCCACAGUAUCACACUGUGAGAAACUGAUCUGGAAGGAAAAUAUCUUAAUCUUACCUCUGUACUGGCAAAGGAAGUGAGGAGAGGGGACAGCGAUAUAAAAUAUGGCAUCCUAGGUGCUGUGUUGCCCUGCAUCCUUUCUAGCAAAAGUGCAGCUGCCCCAGAAGAGAUUCCUGUGUAAUUAGCCAGUGUCCAGGUAAGGGCUUCUUGACAGCAUGUCUGCGCUUCACGGGACAGUCCUGAACAAAAAAUCAUGAGUUAGAUCUGAUGACCCAGUUUAGGUACGAGAAUUAGUUACUCCAUGCCCAUAUUAAUUUUAUCCUUUAUUAUUAGACAGGUUAGUCUGUGUGCCCAAAUGUUACUUGAAUACAGUUACGUUGCUUCUCGGAUCACUGCAUCACACUGCACACAUGUAGAUAUGCUCUAACUGUAACAAAAAAAAAAAAAACAAACCCCAAAACUGUCAUGUUUCAUAGUUAUUUCCUUCUGUUAUGUACUCUGUAUGUCAUUAUUGGUUUCCUUUUUGAGCUUGUUUCCAAAAAGGCUUACAGAAAAGUAUUUAGGCAUACCAGAACCAUGGCAUGUGCAAUUAGAGGUUGGCAGUGUAUAAAAAAAAAGUAGUCCGACUGGUUAACAGGCAGAAAUGUUGCUAGGAAGGUAGAGUUUGCAUUCUACCUAAUCUUGGUGAACUCUUGGCAUUCUCUAGGAUUCACUAGUUCUGCUACAGCUUGACAGCUCCACUUUCCUUGUUUCUCUCUUAUCCAUUGAAAACAGAAGAUUUAAUUCUUCCCAUUCUUUUGUAUCUUGUGAACAUAGACUCAAAUAAUUUGGAAAAAACUUUGAAGUAUAGUCCUGUCACUGAAUGCUGUUACAGCUCAGUGAACACUGGGAGAAGAAUGGCUGAACUGAGGACUGCUCUACAGGUGUUUCUCCUCCAGAGCAGAAUUUCCUUUACAAUCACUUUCCUGUGCAAAACUGACGCAUCGGAAUCAGUACCUGAUCAUUUUGGCAUCAUUUCUUAUAAUAGGAACUUAGGUUUGUGAAUUGAAAAGUGUAAUUUCCCAUCAUUAUCCAGGGAUUCAUAAAGUUUCCUAAGCAAUUUGUCUUGUCUCUUAAAAAAGAUGGUUAUCCUGACCCAAAUCAAAAUGAAGGCAACUCAGCUCUGCCUACGCUGUGCAACCCCAUGAAAGCUUCCAGACUGGUAUUCCAGCAGGUGCACAUAGCUUUACAUUCUGCAUCUCUAAGGAGAAAGGAAACUGAUUUAUUUUGCUGCUAUGAAGUAAAGUUGCAGUUUGUUUGUAGAGUGUUACCUUGGAAAGAAGCACAACAAAAUGGACUAGCUUUAGCCUUGAUGAAAUUCCAUUCACAUAAUGGAAGUAUACCAUUCAUGAAUUUGGCCUGCUGUCUUUUUUUCACUGUAAUAUAUUAGAAGAAGAAGCCAACACAUCAGGCAGCAGCAUUAAAACUGUUCCUGUAAUGCUUACUAAUUGAAGUAAAUGGGAAUUUGGCCUGAGAGAGGACUGCAGGAUGCCUUCCUUCAAACUGCAGUAACAUUAACUCAUCCACACUGCUGCAAAGCAGACUCACUGUAGAGUUACUGGUCGUCACAUGGAUUGUCUCUCGCUGUACACAAAAUGUCUGGUUUGUAGCUCAAGUUUCAAAGAAGAUGAACAUUUUUUACUGGAGCUAAACGUAGCAUGGAAGGGCACUACACAAAAUGGCGCUCAGUUGUGGCAAUACACUGAGUGCGACCAUGAGGAGCAGUACCCCUCCUAUUUCAGGCCUGGAUCUCCUUCAGUGAGCACAGACAAGGUUAUACUGCUUAACUGUGCCAAAUUACGUGAUGAUUUUUGCAGACUGGCAAAAUGCCUGAUGAGACUUCGGUUGGGACCACCAAACUCACUGCGCUCAUUACCUCAGCUGAUUUCAAAUACACAUCGUUACGAGUGAAAAAUGGGGGCACUCGUUCUUCCUCCUACGGUACUAUUUUAGUCCUCUUAAAUUGUGGCUAUUAAAAUGUUUCAGCCAUUUUAAAUUACUAAAACAUAUUAAAAUGCUGCAAAAAUGCUGCAUCAAAGUGGAAAGGUUUAAAAACUGCAGUUCUGUGAUAGGAUAAUGCAGUUUAAAUAUAGUAACUGGUUUGUUUUUUUUUUUUUCCCAGUCAGCUUGCUCUUUGAUUUCAUGGCAUUAUGUCUAGGGAUUUUUUCCCCUCUCUCUCUUUAAGAAGCUUAUAGCUUAAACAGCAAAAUGCAAAAAAUACUGGGAUGAAACAGUUACAGAAACCCAGUAGAAAAAUCAGUGAUUAAACAUGAGCUCGAAUGUUGGUAAUUAAGAUAAUCUGAAUUCAUUCUUUAUCAGUUUUUCUUCUUAGGAAAUAUAUGUUCCCGUACCAGCAGCAGGUAGAAUUUGUCUACCACAGAGGCUGAGAGACCGUGCAUACAAAGGAUAGUGUUGCUGCUGGGAGAUUUCUAGAACUGGAUCACUGUUCCUGCACAGAACAGCUGCUCACUGCCUUGGUAGUGCAAAAGAGAUGGUGAGCCAGAUUCUGGUCUCAGUGACAAUAAGAGAUGGCAGUUUGGCUUGGUAGAUUUCUUCUCUUAUUUCUUUGUCCUAUUGAUAGUUAUUUAUUUUAUCACUGAAGACUCCAUUAGAGUAUUUGCCACAAUCAUCUCCAUUUCCCUGUUUGGAAAAAUCUUUCUCUCUAUCCCAAUACUGACGUCAAUAGGGGAUCUAGAAGUAUGGGAGAGAGCAACGUUUUUUAUCAGAACCAAGAUCCAUCAUGCAUAUCUGAAAAAAUAGUUUUAUCCAUAUUUGAUGGCCAAGUCAUUUCUCUUAAAGGGAAAUCAGCUUCACUGCUAUCUUAAAAAUGCACAACAGCUUUAGAAACAAAGCACUGGUCGGUGCCCACGAGAUUUGAAUUAUGUUCUCAUCCUGACCUGAAUUUUCCAUCUAAUUAAGGUCUAAUUCUAAUUAAUUUGGUAGCUAGCUGCCAUUUUUUUUUUCCUUUGUAAAUAUCCCUUGUGAGCUUCUGGAUCUCAGUUUUACUAUCUGUAGAAGUGGCUAGGGAUCCUGCCAAGCUUGUAAGGAUGUGCAGGGUCAGCCACAGUACUGAUGAAAUGAUAGAGUUUGUUGUUAGGAAGAUGUUACAAAAUUGACCUGUACUUUAUGUCUGUAACGAGUUGAUGGCUAACUGUUGUGGUCAUGCUGCAUAUUGUCUGUAGGCAAUAAAAGUUGCAUUAUUUUGCUAUAGAGCUCAGGCCACACUUCCAGAGCAGAGAGGUUGCUUUGGUUUUGAAGCCAGCAGUCAGCAGUCUCUGGCAUUCAGGAGAACAGUGCCUCAAGUUGGACACACAAAUGUACCACACAGUUCCAUUUCUCAGAGUAUUAAUACUUAAGUCAGUUACUUUGGAUGAUUUUCUUUUUGUGAUUCUUGAAUCACAAAAAUGAAUUCUGGCAUUCAGAGCUUACCUUGCACUCUGUUGAACACGUAGUGCACACUGUCUCUAUACUAACCAGGUACAAGAGAGUUAGUCUCGUGCUCAGCAGGCUCAUGACAAGUCCUAGAAACUACCAGCUACAAGGUAGGGCAGUAAUUACUGUGGAUUAAUAGUGCCAUUGUAUCCGUCUCUAAGGGCACUAUAAAUUCAAAUUCCUUUCCUGCUUCAUAGAUAUUUAUGGAGACAGAACCAGUCUUGUACACUGAAAGGAAAAAGAGAAUGGGAAUUACUCAUCCACAGUUUUUUUGUACGGUCCUCCUUGUGAUAGGAAGCAUGAAGGAAAGAAGGAUGUCUGAAAAGUACAGAGUUAACACUUCUCAUAUGUUCCUAUCAGUAUGUUCAUAACGAUGCUUAUAUUAGUCUGUGAGCAGCAGCAACAACCAGAACAUCGCUCACUGAUGCCAGUGUUUUGUCUUUCCACUUUCUAUUUACUCCAACUUUGUCUAAUAAGAGUCUUAUGUUGAAGUGACCUGAAUUACUUAUUUUUAAAAUGUUAUUUUUUUGCAUUUCUUGACCAUAUCAGAAACUAUAAUCAAGGUGGUAUAAACAAUAUAUAUUGUUGUUGUUUUGUAGUACUGUACCAUGAAGAUUUUCCCCAUGCAAUGCAUAGCUAUCUUAUAUUUUCUGAAUCAUAGUUAUUCCUAUGGCUUUUCAAAAUUGAAAGGAUGACAUCCUUAUGCUCUCCAUGUAGGUGAGUAGCAAUAAUGUGAGACUGGAAAGCUCUACGUAGUCAUGGAGAUUACCUGAUUUUCAGCCAUUGUUUCAGACAAAUGGCACACGACUUAUUUAGACUUGUGACAUUUUCUGAUAUGACACAAGCUGAAGCACCUGUGUUUUGUGUUGAAGAUUUAAUCCAAACUCAUUAAAAGUUACUACUAAGAUACCAAAGUAACACACUUUAGUUUUCAUUCUUCUAUACUGUCAAAGAAGCUCUUUUAUUAGUUACACGAUAACUUUAAAUUUUAUGUUGAUCUUUUUUGUCUCCUAUAACAUAAGGCAAAAUCAGAGAUUGAAACGAAAUGAUCUGUUUGGAUUACCAGUUAAAUUCUUCCAGGCUGAACCAUCAGAAAUCUGCGUGACCCAAAACAGUGGUGAGCUUUGUUUUUAAAAAGGCACUGUUUCUGUGGUAGGAGUAAUGGAUGCAAUUGCAUUGCAUCUGUCACUUUUCCCUACCUUUGUUAAGGUCUUUGCAUCAGCUUCCUGAGGUGGGAAGAAAAGAGAAGCUGUAGAACUGCCUUCAUUUUCUGUUACUGUGACUAACCAAAUCUGAAUACAUAUUGCUUUAGUGGAAUUACAGCUGCGUUGAUUUUUCAUCUUAUUUCUGCUAUUCAGUACAAUCUAUGUAGGUAUUUCACAAAAAUGGUAUGUUGUGGAAGGGGCAAUUCAUUAAUCUCUCAGAACUCAAGGUUUCCAAUAUAUCAGAUCUGUUUUUCUCUGUUUAUUAUGCAUAGAUCUCUUCUGUGUUUGUCAAUGGUGUUGUAUGCAAAUUCAAAUUAUCCUGACCUACAAUAGUUGUUUUAUUGAAAGGUUCCAGCUUUCUAAAAGAUUGUUUGACUCUUGGGUGGUUUUUGUGUUUUUUUUUCCCCAGCUCAGUUAGAAAAAGAAAACCUCUCCUGAGUCAUAUUUUAAAAAUAGUGUUAAGCUCUAAAGCUGCUUCUGCUCCUCUGUCACAAAGCAUUAUUGAAAAGAUAUUCAUUUCUGCCUCCUACAAUUGCUCAGACAGAGAGCUUCACAGAUUCUUUUCCACUCAUGUUGCAACUAUGCUGGCAGCAUUCUUGUUCCUAGAAGUGUGUUACAACGAUCUUCCUGAUAUGAACAGGUUGGGCUUUUUUUUUUUGAGAACCACGCUAUCAAGCUCAUAAUUUAACAUCAAUAACAUUAUCAAACAUUAUUUUUUAUCAUCAAUAAUCAUGCUGAUACUAUUAUCUUAGUAAUUGCUUUCAUUUGAACACUGUAAUCAAGGAUCUCAGGCAUUUCAGAGACCACCAUGAAAAUUGCAUUACAAAAUAUCCCUGAGAGAACAGUAAAUAUUAUCAUCCCCAUUUCACAGAAGCACGAGCUGAGGUUCAAAGUCACAAAAUCUAUGGCAGAACUAGAAAUAGAAAUAGUCUCCUGGCUCUCAGUCCUGUUCUUUCUCCAGUCACCUAAAUAGUUUCUAGUAUAACUUUGUAAGACAUUUAACACAUCAUUUCCAGAAAUGUCAUCCUCUUCGUUAGGGAAAGCUAAAAUACAUAUAUUUAAAAGUGAUAAAGGAGAACACCUCAUUUUCAGAUGAGAUUGCUGAAAUAAUUCUAGCUGUUUUAUGGACAAUGCCAUCCAAGUUUUGUGAGUUAAUCCUGACCCUAAGUACACCUAAAAUAGAUAUCUGCCUCCAGCUAAUCAACAGGCUUAUGAAGAUUGCCUAAAUAAUUUAUGUAUAACCAACUAGUGGAAACUAGAUCUUCUGUGAUUUCCCUAGAUACAUAUUCUGCAUGUAUCAUGUAUAUCCGUGCCUAUUUCUGAUAUUCAUUUGAAAUUCAGUUGGGACAUUUCAGAACACUAGUACUCCAGCUGCACAGCUCUAAGAAAAAGCCAUGUGGAGACAUAAUACAGUGUCUUUGAACCAGGCAAAAUAAUAUUUUAAAUCCAAGAGCACUGUAGAUGAAAAUCCCAUUUUUUUUUUUGUUACUGGACAUUAACCCACAGUUAUAUUUCUACCUCUGCCACUGGCCUACUUGGAUAAGCAUUUUGUUUCUGAGUGCCCUAUUUGUACAAUAAAAAUAAUGACAUUUAGCUGCUGCAUCCAUAGAUAAUAUGGUAAUAAGCAAACAGAUAAAUGUGAGGUAUGAGAGGAUGAUUAAAUGAAAUUAAAAGUUAAAUAAUCCAGUUUCCUUGUUUACAGCACAGAAAAUGUGAAAAACAUACAGUAUGUUGUCUUCAAUGGAGUAGUAAAACAAAACUUGGAUUAAAACUUGCUUCACUGUGGAGAAAAUAGAUGUUCUUUUCCAGACUCUGUAAACAGAAAGCAAAACCAUUAGAGACAUUGUCCUACCUUGUUCUGACUGCACAUUCAAGAAUCAUCACAUCCACAGCUGAAAUGGAAGGUACAGUACAAACUGGCUAUCUAGAGUUCAUAAUUUAUAACUUUUAUAAAGAAUGCAUAAUUGGAAAAUAUAUUCUGUCUGAUAUGUUCUUGGAUAUUAAUUGCUAAAAGACUUGCUCGUGUCUGCUCCCCUGUGCCAGGAAUGCUUUGGACUGUUAACUGUACUUGUUGAGACUAGCUGCAAAAUUAGGGCCAGGCUGUAGCUUCAAUCAUCCAUGCAGAAAGUGGAGGGGGAGGAUAAGGUACUCCAGGAAUAAUGCAGGUGUGGCAGAACUUCUGGAGCAGUCACUGAAGGAACAGAGCAAGCCUUGCUGCUGUCCCACCUUGGCUCACCUGUACCGGUUGGUGCUGCUUUCAGCUGGGGAGUUUAUGGCAGUGCCAAACUAGAACAAUGCUUCUGUAGCUCUUUAUAUCCGUGCAAAAGGAGUGUGAAUCACUGUUGUUACAAAUCAUGUUGUUUUUACACGCACCUCUACCCCCUCCCCCUACUACUUUUAUCAAUCCAAUAAUGCCUGGCUGUUUUCAUAGCUAAGUCAAUAUGUUCUUUAUAUUUCUGUAUUCUCUUAUAGCACUGGAUCUCUGCACAGCUGAAAUUCCUUCAGGCCUAAGCCUUGGGGCAAUAUGUUCAGUUCACGUACCGCUUCCUAGCGUGAAUUUGAUUACCUUUCACAUCUAAGAGUUUUCACAUUUGAAACAUGCCAGAAAAGACCAAGAAAAAAGACAAAUAAGAAUUGCACUAAAAAUGGUAAAGAAGUGAAUAGUUUCUGUAUUGUAUUUAUGGAGGAUCUGUUUAUGACAGCUGUAGGAAGAGAUCAGCAGGUCUGCUAAUUGAUAUUUGCUGUACAAGAACUCAGGGAAAUCCUGCCCUGUUAAAACCUGUGGCUACUCAGCAUCCCUAAGAAAACAUGGAGUCAUGGUUAGCUCUGAAGAGGUCAGGUAGUUGGACUUCAUGAUCUUUUAAGUUCCUUUCUGACCAAACUUUUCCAUUCCAUUCUGUCCCACUCCCAUUUUACUAUAUCAUGUUGUCUACAUGAACCUUUUAAACUUUAGACUACUAUAACCUUCACGUGUCUGUAAUCUCUCAGGCUGAAUAAAUGUCAAAUGGUACAUUCUGUCCCACUUGUCACAAGUGCUCUUGUAUGUCCACCCUGGAUCCAUAUCAAAUUAGUAUUGAUGAGGGUUUCCAGUCUUUAUUGAAAUACAGUAUAAGGUGGAUGUAUAGAAACUACCAGUGUGAAAACAGGGCUCAAAUGCUUCCUUUUGGAAGCAGCUACGUAAUUUUGGACGGUCAUUCACUUAUUUCAGAGAUAUUUAAGAUAGGUUUGACAUUUUUAUUAGUAAAGGUUUAUAUUCUUCGAGGUACAAACCAGCCAUUCUGGCUUUCACAAGUUUAACUAUACACACAACUGAGGUAAAACUUGCAACUGAUAUACUUCUAAAAACUUCUGGAAAAACUGUACUGUACAUAGAAAUGCCACAGUCUUAUAGGUCAUACCAGACCAAAAAGUAAAUGACAUAUAACAGUGUAGAUAAGAAUCUCCCUUUUCUGAAGGUAUGAUGUUUCCCAUUUAGCUCUGGACAUUAUUGGCCUUCCACCUGCCACUGGGUCAGAAUGAUGAGCAUUUGUUGGCUUGCAAGGCAGUAUCAUUUCAGAAGAAAUUCCACUUGGAAUGGAGAAAGCAAACAUUUUUGUCGGGCAUAUAUUCAAUUACUUAUAUGAGCACUGCUUGAGGAAAGAAGACAAGCACUUAAAAGAAAAUGGUUUUCAACAGAGAUUUUCAACAAACCAUUCAGCUUUAACUCGACUCACACAGAAACAGCAAAUAAAUGAGGCCAAGAUACAUGUCAUACUGAGUCUGAAUUAGCUGGAAGGUUUGGAAAUAAUUAAGAGCAAAACUGUUAAUGCUCCAUUUAAAUAGCUGCUGCCUAUCUGUCCAGUAUGAAAGCCCAAUCUGUUGUGUUCAAUCAGCUUUCAGCUGCUACUUGCCAGCAGCCUAAUUCCCCAGUCUUGUCUCUGUGCUGUGCUUGUGCAUUCCACUACCUGCUAAGUUAAACCCUGCUGUCCUGGUUCAGCAUGGAGAUUGCUAGUUCUAUGGAAACUAUCCACAGUGGUUCAGACCUGUAAACUGCGCUGAGUAUUCAUACAAACGGACUGAUUUCAGUGGAGCCCCACAUGGGUGACAAGAGAAGUUGGCAGCUACGUACAUGAUCAGCACUGUGUUCAGCCCUACCAGUCUGUGUGCGUUUAUGCAGUUUUGACAAGCUGUUGAUCUGCAAUAGUUCCACAUUAGGUCCUCUUUUUUUAAGUGAGCAAAUUGACAGUGCAGAGGGAGUUGUUCACCAAAGCCACUAUUAACUAUUAGCACACAUCAGUUGGUAAUAUAUCUCAGUUUUCCUAAAUCUCUUUGUAUUUGAUGAUCAAUAUACUGACUAAUUGUACUGAUAUUGCAUAAGGAUUCAAUAAUCAACAACUAGACUGCUUAUAUGCUUAGUGUGUGCUAGGUUCUGUGCAAAUUGUGGAUCAGUUCUAAGAAAGUCUCUGUUUAGGUUUGGUAGUUAUGAAGCUCUAUGGGUAGUGCUAGAAAUAUAUUGUCAUGAAAUGUGCUUCAGGUCGAGAGGCUUUCUGAGCCUCAUAUCUGUACUAGUAGCUUUUUUCCUCAGAAAUAUGUAUUAAAAAUGGCAAAGUUCAUUGCACAGUCAUUUGCAAGGAACUAAAGAGUAAUUCAUUGACCUUUGCAGAUUAGGUAAUGCAUAUUGUCAUAAGGAAGUGAUAUUUGAGUAACAAACAGCAAAUGUACACAAUAAUCCUUCAUUGACCUCUCAAUGGAGGCAAUCAGGAUUUCCUGAUACUAACGUGUUCGGUGUCCUUGGCAUCUUUAAUAUAAGUUUGCUGUGGUCUGAGUGCACAUUAGUUCUCUAACCAUGUCAGAGGAUGCUUAGUACAUUGCCUGCCUUUAGUUUUUGAAAGAGUACAUAUGCUGGAAGGAAGGAAGAAGGAAUGGGUGUGCAUACGGAAUACUGAAGGUUGUGUGCUCUGCUCUCAGAUUUCACAGUUCCUGAAUCUCCGUGCCUCAGUUUUCACUAAAUUAAAUGAAACUGAAGUGUCUGCAUAAUACAAUGUGAAACUUCCACUUACAGUGCUUUGAGAUCAUGAAGAACAACAGAGCAACAAAGAGCAGUGUUCUGCUGCUGUUGGAGAAUAUCUGUAUUACAGAAAGAGGACAUGAGUGAAAAUGAAUCUUUUAAUCAGUAGUAUAAUUCAGAAUUUGAAUGCAAUAAAAGUUAAAUAUGGUGCUUUUGCUUCUAUAAUAACUUAAUAACUCAAAGGAUUCUUCAAAAAUUGUCCAGGAAAAAAAUAUGGGAAACUUUUUGAUUCCUUCUGGAGAACUAAAUAAUCUGUUCAAGUGCAAAUGAAUAUGCCACAUUCUUAUGUAUGUGUUUUGCAAGAAGGUGAAUUAGUGUUUCUCCUUCUUCACUCUUUCUUCUGUUUUCCUAAUUCUACACGAGGAUUCUGUUCAGAUUCACAUCUUGGUCUUUCUUUAUGUGGAUUGUUGGCCACACUCCUACUAAAGAAAUGUUUUAAAACCACUUCUUUUAUUUGGAAAUUCUUGGUACAGCAUUAUACAUUUUUUUCUUUUUAAAAUUAAGUCAGUGAAAGAGAAAGCUUUUCCUGUUCAUCACUCUUAAUGCUUGAGCUCAGAACUGUCUGGCAGAUGAAGCAGAAUAAAUAAAUAAAGAGAUUGGAGCAACCCAGACCCCAUGGACAUGAGAAUCGCUUUACCUCAGGACACUGAGAUAAUUUAUCUGGGUGGCUUAGAAAAAGUGCUAGAUAAGACUGAAGUAUGGAGAGGCUGAGCAAGUCCAGGCUCAGCCUUUGGAUUAUCAAGAAACAAUUGAUUCCAGCAACUGGCAUCUGAAUAUGUUCAUGUUGUAGGUUCUGACGUGGAACCGGGAAAGUAUAUUCGUAAGGCAAAAAAUAUAACAGAGAUAAAUGCAGUUCUAUAUAUAAUAUGUACGUUUUAUGUAUCCAACAUCUUUGCCAAAAUAUGAAUAAUUUGCAAGCGCACCGAAGUUAGAAAAUGCCAGAGUAAAGGCUGCCUUUCCAUGUAUAUGCCCCAACGUAAUCCUUAAUUACGUGAUUCUGGGCUUCCUUUUCUAACCCAAGAUUUUCUAGUUUCAGCAAGUGUUUGAAGUGUUUUGUAGUCUUAAUAUUUUCUCUUGUAAAUAAAGACUUCAGGGAUGUAUUUCCCCAGGUUUUCAAAAAGGCAUUUGAAAGUCACAAUAUUCCAUCCCACUCACAUCCUCAUGGGUCAUCACAUUGUAAUCUGUCAUCAUAGAAGUCUUUGGGGCAGCUGUAACUGAUGGUGUGAUGGUGAAGUUUGUGCAGUGAUGCACAAACGGUCCUCUGACGAGUGGCAGACAGAAGGACUGUAAGGUAAAGGAGCACCUGAGCAGAGUUUUAAAUAAGUUAUUUAUUAUUAUUGCUCUCUCUCCUCUUCUAUUUGUUAAUGGCCUCUAUUGUGCAACCUAUAACAAUCUUGCCUAGAUAGGAGUCACGUGAACUUCACUGACCUGAUUCUGUGCUGCCUUGUACUAUAUGCAUGGUCAUUUCUACUCAAGCAAACUAAAUUUAAAAUGCUGGUUUCUAAUUUGCUAAUAUUUACAAACCACUUUGUUUAUGCAGCUGUGAUGGAUAGCACGGAAUACAUGCAAACAGCAUGCAAACCCAGGGUGCAUCCAGAGAGGGUUAUACUUUGAAGUGAUUUUUUCACCACAGUUACAAAUCAGAGUAGUCACAGUGACAGCACAGAAGUUGGAACCAGUUUGCUGAAUCAUUAUUCCUUACCUGCUUCUUUCUGUUGUGAAUUGAAGAAUUUUAGUCAGAAGUGGUAAUGUGCAAAAUUUCAUCAAAAUUGUUUGUUUCCUAAAAUCUGUUUGUGUGCGCAAGCAUUAUGUAUUUCUGUGUGCAACAGGAAUGCUCCCAAACUAAUAUUUACCCUCCUGCACUGAAAAGGCUGGACAACCACGGGACCUAAAUUGUCACAGAAGUAGAGCUUUCAGGAUUCAGGAACCUUGACUCGGUAAAAGAUGCCCUGCCCAUGGAGAGUCAGACAAAGCAUGAGAGAGUUAAGUACUUGCACUAUGUUAUUUUUUAGUUUAUUAAUUAAGGACAGGAUUAUGCACCUGGUACUGAAGCAGCAAAUUGGAAGUUCUCUCUAAGACCUGGAAACAUCAACGGGCUCGCUUCCAUAAAUAAUACUGGAAGUUAAACAGUGGUUUCACAGUGUCUAGAUCAUAGUAUAAAUAAGAAAGCAGAAAAAUCCAGGAAAUCCUUAGUUAACAAAUGUUUUGUUUUAAAAACGAUAUGCUUUUCUUGAGCUCUGAGAACCAGCUUCUCAGUAGACAAUAACUUGCUCAGGGUGUUUGGACACAGUGGAAGCACAGUUCAUUCUCAGGCUUUUCAGGGUUAGCCCAAAAGCUCACAGACCUGGCAAAAAGUAAGAAACCUAAAAAAUUCUCUGUUAACAAGCGACCAAGCUUGUAUCAAAAACUAUAAAAUGCCACAUGCUGAUACCAACUAUUACUACAUUUGGCAGCUUUAGGAGAUUGGAUUAGUGUGGUAUUUUGAAUUGAAUAAUCCCAAAGGAUGUUCUAGGCAUGCUGGGCCAAAUUCAGCCAGGUCGUAACCAUAUCAAUCUGAGUGUAUCUGCACCCACAACAAUUUGGUCCUUUUUUUUUUUUUCCUGUGACCAAAAUGCAGCGCUGAGGUAUAAAUUGAGGUCUUAGUGAAAUUAUCGCCAUAAUUUUAAAAGCUAGUUAUUUCAGCUAAAAACAGCUACUAUUUCAGAUAACGGAGUUUCUGCUGUUUUCAUUGUUGGCUUCUAGAGUAAAGUGAGUUGCUCUGAAGCAAAAGGGAGGUAAAUGGGAGCAACUUUGAGAAAGUUUUUUUCACUUAGAGAGUAUGCUGAUAGUGCUGGUUCUACGUCUCUGUUAUCCUCAGUCCACCCCAUUCUAAAUUCAGGUCCCGUUUAGGUCACAAGCUUUCCCAUUCUGUCCAAAGCAUCGUCUCUGUCUGGUAUUUAUGACAUAGUCCAGUGGACUGAAUGACCUGUGAGCGGGCCAAGUGCCAGAGGAAAACAUGCUCAGGCUGGAGGCAGCCAAAAAACAGCUGGACAGUGGCUGGGAAGCUAUGAGGGCUUUGUCCUGUUUUUGUUUGUUUGUUUCUUUUUGUAUCUAUGUGAAUUUUGAAAACCAGAAACUCUAGUCAGGAAAAUUUGGCUAUGUGCAGGUUUGUAUAUUCUGGUCAGCUCGUUCCAUAGGAUGUUAACAUAUGAUAUGACUUGUUUACUAUUUUAUUCUCUCCAUGGGGAAAGAAAAAAAAAAAAAAAGUGUUGGCUUGAUGUUCAGUGCUUAGGUUUAUUAUUUCUAUGUUUGCAUUACCUGCACAUGAGUAACGGCGUCUUGCUUUUGACUGAAAGGUAACCCUGGCUCCCAAGCAAGUUCGGGAAGCCCGGUGCUUGUACAGCGCUGACAUAAACGCAUGGCAGGUGAGCAGCUCUGUGACGUGCCUUGCAAUUCUGCUGCAUGAGAGCCAGUGCCCAUGCGACCGAGGGACAGCACAGCUGCACAGAGGCAGACACAGCGGGCAGGAGAGGGGAACCAACUGCAGUGCCGUGAGCCCAGUUUGUGAGAUUUCAGAUAGCCAGCUAGAGCCAUGUCUUGGAAGGGCCCAGUCAAGCAGGCACGUUCAGAGCACAGCUGUCAGAUAACACUGGGUCUUCCUAGGACUGUAUGCUGCCUUCUGUUGUAACUGUUGGAGGAGGAGGAGGUGGCAUAAAUAUUGUUUUCCCUUUAUAUAAUAUGAUUAUUGCUUUAGAAUCAGUACACAUAGGGCCAGCUCUUUCCCCGGCUCCCAGUUCCUGCUCCCAGGCCUGCUUCAAUAACUCCUUAACAGCCUAUGGUGACUAAAAUACAGUCAUGGAGCAGGUACCAAAAUCAGUGGUGGUUUCAGUUAAUAUGCUGAGCUGGAGAACUAGAUGGCUGAGAAGCUAGUUGCAUUCAUUUUUGCCAACUGUGUUGCAGGACAGCUACUUGCUAUUCCUGGCAAGCAGACAGCUAGGGAACUUUAAGAUUACCCAACAGAGAUGACCAAAGCUAGACCGGAAGCACUCUGAGACUUAGAGGUGUACCAGCUCGAUGAAGUAGACUAUGCAUCUAUCAGGUAAAUAAGUUAAUAUCUUAAUGCAAGAUUCAACUAUGGCAGAGAUUCAUUUAAGUUGUCCAGACAGGUCAGUAAAUACAACAAGCUGUUAAAAAAUAGUUACAUUUUGAUUUGUGCAUGUAAUGAUUUUUUUUUUCACUUCAAAAUGAAUUCCAGAAGAAUACAAAUACAGUUCAGUACAAUCUAAAACACUUUCUAAUUCUGCAAAAGAAAAGAAAAAAAGAGCACUACUGACAGGUCUCUUGGGCUGCAGGCAGAUAUUAGGCCUCAGAAAGUGGGCCCAUGUAUGGUUAUAGUCACUUAAUGUGUCACUGAUUGGCAGUAGGAAGGGCGAGUGGGCUGACUGAUCUCUGUGCAAUGGACUGUUGCCCUAGUUAGACUUAUUCUAAAUACUCAACAUUAUGGGGCAUUUCAUGUAAUCAGGUUUACAGCCUUAGCUCUGUUUCAGGAGUGGGGGCUAAGUUUUUAGUGUAUAUUUUUAAAAAGAGCAUCCCGUUCUUACGAAUCUAUUCCCAGCUAAAGCACACAAGCUCUGGAAAGGUCAGAGAGAGGCAUCUCUAGCUUUGAUAAAUAAACAAAUCUCUUCUCUGUGGCUGGGAUGUUGUAUUAAUAGCAGUAGAUUUGGUUUCGCAUUGUGGAGCUCCUCCUGUUUCAUUGCUAUUGAAGAUAAGAGAACACAAAAUGUUCUGUCACUCUCCCCAUGAGAAAACAAGCCAACCGGCAGAGACUAUUAUGUUUUAAGAUAUCACCGAGGCAAAGACUUGGAGAAAGCAAACACUCAGGUUUAUAUUCAGUAACUACUGGAUACCAUAGCUGGCACAUCAGUGACUCAACAUUAUUUAAUGUCUUACACGAAAGAGUUUUGCAAGACAAAAUCACUGUAGUAGAAAUAACCUGAAAAUAGGGGUUGAGCCUUGGGCAGAUGGAAGUGUGAAUUUUACACUUUCACUUGUUUCUUAGCAAUUCAGUUGCAGCAAUAAGCAGCAGCUCUUUUCUGCUUCUUAACCUAUUCACCACUCUGAUGCAAUCUGUUUCGCUUUAGUUUGCAAUCUGCAGUUAUUCAGACCUUCAUGACAGCAUACUCGGACUGCAAAACUUUCUCCAAAAGACUUACUGUGAAAUUCUAAUUUGACAGUAAGUGUGUGUAAAAUAAAUUAGCUGAGCUGUACCUUAUGGCUUCUCUACACACAUUAUUUAUGAAUAAUCAAUUCUAAAAUUCCUCAUGUGGAAUGCUUUAGUUUGGAAUGUGCACUUCUGAGUGCCAGGCAGAUUUAGCUUAUGGUGGUAGAUGAGAAGCAUGAUGGGAAGGAAUGUAGAAUUUAUCCUCAAUUAGCUAUCAUACAUGGCACAUCCAAUUCCCACCCAGCAGCCUACUACGUUAGCUAAUACAUGUUUAAAGCAUACCUCUUGUCCUUAGUGCCAUCUUUUCUCCAGACCAGGCACCAGUCCAGACAGGAGACAGCCUUCUUUUCUGCAAAUAAGCAUCUUCUGUUGGAGCGCAGAUUGCUAGAUAUAAGUAAAAAUAAACACCAACGGAAUCAGAUAAUUCUCCGAGCGGUUGUUUUCCUUGUCCUUGAAAUGUCACCAGUUCCAGAUUUAUUUCCUUCCCUGAUGCUCAGGUAGAGAAUCUGUUCGGAGGGAGUUCUUCCUGCAGGCAGUAGGCAUUUUGUGAAGCUACACCUCUACACAGGAGACAUAAACCAGCCAAAUGACUCAACUGAAAAAAAAAAAAAAAAAAAAAAAAAGAGAAAGAGUUAUAUGCAGUGAGAUCUUUUCCUUGUGGGAUAUUUAUACUGCAAGAAAACAAAUAUUGGUGAAGGCAAAGACACACAAAUCACUGAAAUUGUCCUCUCCCCAGUGCCAGUGUGAGCUGUCUAGAAUUUAAUUUUCACAAGUGCAGCCUGCUUGGGCCCUGAGCUUCCUGUCCCCUUUUUUUUGUCUUUCAUGGGAAGAAGAGAGUCUCAGCGUGAGCUCAGAUGUUACAUACAUGUCAGUGUUUAUACGGGAAUGUCACUUCCCAUCUGCAAUACUCGUUGCGUUUUACAAGAAAAAUGAUUACUCAUUUCUUCUAGAUCAGUACAUAUGCGGGUUACUCUAACAAAAUGCCUAAGAAAUUCUGGGCAGAGGCAAUGGAUUCAGACAGCUACAGAUGACUUUAAAAUGAUUAUAAAUCAUUUUAGAGAAAGUAGCAGGUUUUAUAGUUUGGAGGAAAAAAAUGUUAAUUGUUCCAUAUUGUGGCUUCCUUGCCAUUAGAGAACAAACCUGAAUUUAAUUCUGCCAUCACAGGAAUUUUGGCUGAGUUAAAUGCGAGAAAGGAUUUCAAUUCUGAGCAUGAAAUUUCUUUUUACCAUCAUUUUGGAUACAACAUAUGCCACAGAAAUGAGGAAAAAAAAACCCUGCUGUUAGUGUGAGGGCCUUCUGAUCCUUCUGAAGGAUCCUAUGCAUCUCAGAUUUAAUACAGAUAGGUUUUGAAAGGUGUGAGUUUUAGUUGUACCUGGUAUCAAUCAGGCUUUAUUAUUCAAGGAGAUCUAAUGGUCAUCAGAGCUGUGCUGUUAAUCAGAUAAUCCAAAUCAAAGUCAAAUUGUUGCACUUAACAUUUUAAAUUUAAUUACAUCAUAAGCAACUGGAUUUGAAAUAUCUGUUUUUGCUUUCAUAUAUGUUGUUAAGAAAAUGUAAAGCCAUAUGUAACUCACUACAUUUCCAUACUGACCAUUGGAAAAGAAAUGCUAGAAACACAGUGUACUGAUCUGAGUUAUUCCAAGAAUAUCAUGUUCUUAGAAUGGCUUGGGUUGGAAGGGACCCCAAGGAUCAUCAAAUAAAGGUAUUGGAUGUAUUAUUAGACAUAGUAUUAUUAGAAUACCUUUCUUAAAAGGUAUUAGACAUCAAAUACUAAAUAUGUGAGAAUACAGACAUUUAUUAUUUUAUAACUCCAGUAUUGAUCCAGUUGUUAGUCUUUCUAAAAAUUGAAUUAUGCAAAUAGAAUUCUUGCAGCUUAACUUUUAUGUACUGAUUUUGACAGUUCAAGACUGGUAUUACGGACUUCAAUCUAUUUGAACAGCACCUGCAAGCUGUGGGGGCAGCAAACAGACCCCCAUUAUGUAUGCAAUAAUAUAAUUGUUCUGCUUGACGAGGUCAUAAAGUGAUUUCUGAUUCCAGAUUCACAGGUGAAGACAAUUCCAAGAAGACAGAUACUCAACAUCAUCAUUUUAGUAUUGCAUGUUUUCUUAAAAUUUCUUUUUUCUUUCAAGAAUGAAAGCAGUUCUCUGAGUUGCAGCUGGAGAAUGAGGGCAGCUGAGGCCACUCCAAAUCUCAGGAGAUCAACAGUGUUACAGCUGAUGAUCUAAUUAUGGAUUAUUUGGGUCAGACUCUGUUCUCCUAGGUGUGACUUGGUUGACUUAAAAAAGGUUAAUUCAUUCAUUUUGUAGGGGUUAUCGCAUAAAUGAAUUAUAAUUGUUAUCCUGUUACUCAUUAUAGAAGUCUAAUAUUUCCUAUAAACAGAUGUUCUGAUUUUAUAACAUCUUUUAUAAAUAAUUAAACAUAUCUUAAAGACAUUACGUGAAUUGUCAGCAAUUAUGUUGUUGUUACAUUCGUAUUAGUUACGUCUAUUUUGAAUAAAGCUCAGGAGGAAAGCAUUUACUCAGAAAAAUGCUGUUAAUGAAUGCUUCCUUUGCACUUUGCAUCUAUUGAUUUUGCAAAGGUGUGUAUGAAAAAGAGGCUGUUGUAGUGCGUAUCAUUCACUCGGUCAUACCUGAAGCUGACCAUAUAACUGAUACACGAUGAAGCAGGGUUUGUUAUGUAUUGAAAAAUUAUGUCACUAGAGAGACUGAAAUAUAUUGUCUAAUUGAAUUACAGAGUUAACUCAUAACUGCAUUAAUAUGCUUUGAAAUUUUCCACAGCUUCUUGCAUAUCUGUCUUCAGACUAUCUUGAAGUAAUCACUGAAUUACAUCAAGGACAACAGAAACUGCCAUCACAGUGCAGUCCUACAUUUUCUUUGGCAGUGAAGGCAGUUUGGGAAGCUCCAGACCCCCCCACUUGCUCCCAGUUCCUUGCCUGCUGCUCUCCACCUCUUCAGCUGUGCUCUUGCAGCUAUUUGUGGCUAUAAGCUGAGUAACUGAGUUAAUAAUCAUCUUUUACCAUGAGACUGGUACAGCCUGACCGUGCAGACCCACAGAUAAUGCUAGCAGAAUGGGAGAAAUGUUUUCACAAUAAUUACAAACUGAAUUAGAUAAAAGUACUACACAGAAGGGCAGUCCCACCUCUUUCAGGCUACCAGUUGUUUUCUUCCUAACUAUUCAGUAACGUGUAACGUUCCUGUCUAAUCUAUCAAGAAUAUACAAACAUAACUUUUAAAGUCAUCUGGAACAGAAUUCUGCUGAAUACAAAGCUUUCUAUUUGGGCAGGAUGGGGUCUCUUUACUGUCGUUUUGUUCCAUGGGCACAGUGGAUGGCAGUGAGGGUGCUCUGCCUGUGACAUAGCUUCUCUCAUGUUCUUUAACUAAUCCCACUCAUCUUAAUGGAGACCUUUCUCAUUCAGUGACAACACCUGAAGUAAUAAUUAAUCUUUAAAAAAAUAUACCAACGGAUGAGCCUGCAUAUAAUAUCUUACAGGUACCUUUGUGGACUUGUGUUUCCAUGAUGAGAGGCUGCAAACAACCUUUGAAAAAAGGGUUUCAGAUGGGUUAGUUCUCCAGAACUCUUUUUUUUUCAUGCUGGAAAAUAACAUCUUGUCAAUGGAACAUGCCUUCUGAUGUCUCUGCUUCUGACAUACAGGCUGGGAGAUACUACUGCUGGCUCUGUCUCACGGCAGUGUGUGUGUGUGCAUGGAGUGCAUGUGUGUCCAGUUCUUCUUUUGAAACAGCAUUUUGUGAAGUUUGGUUUACUGUAUGCCUUGUAGAGGCUAAUUAUGUAAUAUUAUUUUCUAAGUAAUACUUUCCUUAAACAACCAAGUUCUCACUACUGCUUUAUUGGAGGAGUCCUGUUUUUGAAGUUCUGCCCUAAGCUGCGCCCUGUCUUUACAAUGCACUGCAGAGAACAUAAUGCUGCACUGAGCCUGCUGUGAAGAGUUCAUCUGAUUCAAAUGGAAUGACACAGUAACAAGCUGAAUGUCUAGGAAUGGCAGAGACCAGAUGAGGAUACUGAAAGCUGGGACACUGACUACUGUGCUGGUAAACAUCAGCCCAGGAUGAAGUUUGGGCUGUCUGAACUGCAAUGGUCAGGGCAAAACUGAGGAUACUCUCAGACAGUACCCGGUGGGGGACCCUGGGUGUACCCUUAGGCCAAAGCCCAGGGAAGGCCCAAGCAUUCAAUUUCAUUAUGCACCAUAGUUUGUUCAUCUAGAAAGUAACAAAAAUAGCAGCAACUUGUUUAUCUGCCUGUGUGGCCAACACAUUUUACUAAGGGUUGUUUGUAAAUUAUUUUGAGAUUCUCAUGAAAAUUGCUGCACCAAAUAGCUUACUUUAACUUGGUUUGUGCAUAUGCUUAUAUAUACAGUCAUACAUACAUGUUCAUUCCCAGGAUCGAUUCACAGUUGCUUCCCGUCAGCUGUCCACAGUUACUGUAUAUGACAAUGCCAUGAAAUCAGGAACUGCAUAUUCUAGAGUUAACACUUUAGCCAUCAAGCAUACUGACUGUAAAAUACAACUAGAAGUAUCGAAUUUGGAGCACAAUCAAACGUAUUUAAACAAUAUACUCUUAAGCAGUAUACUUACAUCUGCAUUUGCAUAUACCACUUAUAUCAAAUAGACCACAUUGGCACGUCUGGAUGUAGUUUCUGUAUCAUCCUUUGCAUUUGUGCAUUAGAUACCACAAGACAAAGAUAUUAUUUAAGACAGUAAAUAUGAUUAUACAGGAUAAAUGACAAGAAUACUGUACUCUGUCAAUUCUGUUUCUAUUCACAGCAGUGAAGCUGCAUUAUAAUCACAACAAACUAAUUUCAUUUUGUUAGACUGCAGUAUGCCUGUAAUAGACAGUAGUACAAAUGAAUUAAAAUAUAUUGAUUAUAAAGAGUAUUAAAUGCAAACUAUUUAAAACACAAUUGAUUAGAUAUAAUGAAACUUUGCAGACACAAUUGCAGAGCUGGCAAACCUAAACCCAAAGAAAACCAUCCCCCCACUCUAGAAGUGCAGAGGACCUGGCUCCUAACCUUGGAUUUAAACUUGAAGCUUGACAAACAAUAUAUCUCCUGCAAUCCAGACAGGUGGCGGUCCCAUCGCAGCGCAUUCGCCAGCAUUACCACUCUCCUCAUUUAGACUUUACAUCAAGUCUGUGUGAGCCCUGGCUUGAAAUCAGAUUCUUGAUGUCUAUAAGCAAAGACAAAGGCUAAAGCUUAUUUAUUAACACUAGUUAUAAAGAAAGAAAGGCAUUACAUAAAGGACCACUGUUCGUUUGGAUUGCACAAUGUUUUACAGGGACAUGUGAUACACUGGAGGACUAUUUAUAUGUGUGUUUGAAUGUAACUGUGGAUUACCUAAAACAGUUCUUAUCCUCAACAGAUUGACACUGCUAACAAGGUACAGAAAAACAAUUUUACAAUAGCAGAAGGUAACAACACUGUUUUGUUUGUGGGUACACAAAAGGACCGAAGAGUAUAAUUUUACUCUCUUAGACCAAAUGAAGUCCUAAAUUGGAAAAGCAGCUCCAUCCAAGGUCGUCUCUGUUGCUUCCAAAAAUAUCUUGAAACAAACGCAAGAGGGGCACUUUGUUGGGUGUUAUCUCGACAUAUAUAGUUUCAAUCAAAUUCUUCAAGAAGUGUCAGAAUAAAAGUCGAACAUUUGUUUGACGCUGCCGAGGCCCUGCGAAGUGAAUCCCUUCAAAGGCUGGAAAUAACUUUGAUAGCAGAAUUAAGAAUUAUAGGUUGCUGGUUUUUUUUUUUUUUUCUGCUUUAAAAAAAAAAAAAAGCCAUAUAUAUUUGGGAUGGAAUUGUAAACACUUUUUAGAAAGUUCAUAAAAUGAUUGUAUAAUUCUUUCCGCUGCACGAGGCGAAGUGUUACAAGGUUGUGUUAAUGAUCUCAGGAAAAUAUUUAUAGUGCUUUUUCCAGCAUAAGAGUUCUCUCUUCCCCUCUCAUUACAUUUUAUGAUCAACCUUCACUUCACUCAAUUACUUCAACAAGCAGGAAAGAACCUUCUGUAUCCACAGAUUUUAAAGUGAUGCAUUUCACAUAGAAAUGUUUGAAGUGCAGCAUGGUAAAUGCAAAACACGGAAGGAAUAGCAAGCAGUAAUGACCCAUUGUGAAGUACAGCACGCUCCAGCUCCUUGCCAUAAGAAUUCAGAUUGUGUUUGCUUUCAGGUCUAGUUUUCAGCUGUGGAAGUUAUUUUCCUUAAGGAGAUCUGAGAUGGUGAUGUCACUACCCAUGAAAUAACAAAUGCCCAAUUUUCCUUACUGGCCUCUGAACAUGAAGCACAUGUCCCAGCGUUCCCUGACUAACUCCUGCAGAUACCUGAGCGGUCUCAUCAGCCUACACGGAAUGAGAAUGAAGCAGAGAAAUCCUUCAGGACAAAGGAUGCAGUAUAAAUGGGAAAGAAGCAGGAAUAAGGAGAACAAGGAAGAAGCAGAAUAAAGAAAAUCGAUUACGAUAGAGAAAGGCAGCUGAAGAGUUAACAGCAUCCCGUCUGCAGGAUACCUACUGCUACAAAAGAUAACACAGGGCAAACAUAGAGAACAAGCUCUUCAUCUUUUUCACUUAAAUCUGAGCAAAUGCAGCACCAAUGAGAGAAAGCAGAUCUGCAUGCAUCCAUGCGGUCCUCAUCCCCAAACAAGAUGAUGGAAUAAGUUUCCCACACUCUGCUGUGUCAAUGUGUCAUGACCUUUCUCCCAAGGUGACACCUUUUGGGUAACAGCACUCAGUCUCUGCUGUCUUUCAGUCAUGUUUGUCUGCCUUCUUGUGGAAGCUGACUCCAGGCUCACCAGAAGCUGCCAGAGUGGUGAUUUAGGAAUUCAGAGUGGUCCUGCCAAAUUGCUCUGCUUACAUCACUUGCUGAGGACAGCAGCCAGGCCCAUGUGGAGCUUUCCUGUGGCUCUAGGGAUAGUUGGUGUUAAUAUGACUCAAUAAUGCAAAGCUGCACAAUGCCACCUGGAAAACUUCAUCCAGUUCUGGACGAAGACAAGGAGAACCCUUUUGAAGCAAAGUAAUCCGUUGCUCGUAAGUAACUGCUCCAAUCAGUGUUCUAACUAGAAGAUAUUUGGUAAGUGCAGAGACCCCACAUUUAGCUAUGCGCAUUUUUUAUUUAUUUGGGCCUUUGCCAAAGGAAGGCAGCUAUUUUUCCAUAUAGUAUGUUUAAUCUUAUUAAUUAACUAGCUAGAUUAUUAUUAAUAAAGUGAAAAAAAUUAGGAAUAAGCUUUUCCUUACAAUUUAGGAAGUAAUAGUACAACUGCAAAACUCAGUCAAAGAUUUCUGAACGCUCCCUUAAAAUCACAAACCAUAUGGAAAAGCCACUGAGCAGAAACCAUUAAGGCUGCAUUUAUUAAAUGUCCACUUAUAUAAAAGCUAAAAAUAGCUUUCGAGUUUUUCCAAUUUUCUUUUCAUAACAGUCAUUAUGAUUUUCUGCUUCAUCUCAGAAAGUAAUUUUGCUACUGCUGUAGUGUAUAAUCUAUGUGCCCUUUCUCGGUGCUGUACAAAUGACAGAGAGCUAAUCAGAUCAGAGCAACAAUCACGUCAUCACUGAGUAACUAGCAAUAAACUGUUUUUACAAGGAAGAAAGAUGAACUAUUUUUAGGGUAACUGAACAGAAAAACAGAAAAUGGUUAUACUCAGUCUUACUCUACAUCAUUGCUAUGAAUUUCAAAAGCAUUACUUUUUUUCCUGGGCAGCAGACUAAUAGCUGCAAUAAAUCUUUGUAUAAAUGGUCUAGUCAAAUAGGGGUUUUAGGGAUUUGUUAUAAAAUGUUGAGGUAUAAAAAAUGCCCUUUCUCCCUGUCCUGUCAGCUUUGAUCCGCAGGCAGUCCUCCAGCUCUGAUCACUAAGUAACCUAAAUGCCCAGGGAAGAGGCUGCUGGUGGCAAUGCAGUACCUUCUCCCCACUUAACUAACUGCCAGUGUCCUACACAACAGCCUUCCCUCCAUGCUCACUGAUAAUGUGCGUAGCAGAGAAUGUGCUGCUUCUCCUUGUCCUGGGAAAGAUCAAUGUGCAGCUGUUGAGAAAGACUAUCUUCAGCUAUUCAGCAGCGUGGGAGGGCUUGCAUGAGGAUGUCCUGAGUAUCUACGGACAUGCUCCUUAGGCGUACAGUGGGAUUCAAAACCUUUGGGGGCAUCUGAAAGAAAUGUAAUUAAAUAGCCCUGAGCUUUUCAAACCACUUUCUCCUGUGGCCCAUCCAGAAACUUGUCAGUAAGAAUUUACUUUCUAUUACUAAUUUCACCUAUGACAUAUGGAAAAUAACACCAUUCAGUCAAAAUGUAGUCAUUGGAUUUUAUUUGAGCUCUAUUAGCAAAUAUACUUAACGUAAAGACAAAUUAGGAACUAUACAGUUACCAUACCCUCCUUUGAUAGAGAAAAUAGCAGAUCAAUUAAUUAGGUGUCAGAAAAGGCUAAAUCAUUUAUUGUGUCCAAAUUACAUCUGAAAAAAACUAUCAGUGAAAAAAAUCCAUUCUUAUUUAGGCAGGAAAAAGAACAAAAUUCAAUAAGCCAAGAGACUACAGAAGAACAGCAGGAGCUCUCGUCACCCAGACUUAUCUCUCUGCUUCUGGUCUUUUGAUUGUGACUAAGAGGCGCUCAUCAGAAAUGAUGAAGCGUGAGGGACAGUUUCAAGCCUCAUCUGCAUUCCUCUUACCCUGGGUUAGCUGUAGGUCUCAUGAUGCAAUUUUAAGGGCCGUGACAGUUGCCUGUGGCCCACAGGUCAAAGCCUGACUACAAGGGAGCCUUGCAUAUCUGUUCUGCAUACCCCACCAUACGCAGGAACCACUGUGCCAUAUUUACAUCCACAAAUAGCCCUCCAUCCCUACCUCUUUGGGUAGCACAACCACUUUGAAACCAUACUGCAUAAGCAGAACAGCAAUGUAUCUUCAAUGGAGAAAGGUUUUAGUGGACCACAGCUAGCACUUUCACAUAGACAGCUAAGAAAACUUAGAAAAAGGUAUAUGUUUCUAUAUGCAAAAAAUAUAGAUUAGUUAAAAACAACAAGAGAUAGUGGAACGAGCUCAGAAUCCAAGUAAUUGUUCUCAGAACCUAGUCCUGGCGCUAUUGCAAUGAACUGUCUCCUGGAAGCACAAUCAGUUCAAUUGAACCAUGCAAAGAAAGUAUGAGGAGGAGUGUGCAAGCAACGUCUGUGCAGCUCAGAGUGAAAAUGGCUCCAUUCUUGCCAGUCACACUAGAUGAAUAAAGACAAUGGGAAAAGAGAGGGCCAAGCCAGGAGGUCCACAAUUAUACAAUACCAAGUACCAGACCUUGCAAAAAUAUAACCUUAGUGAUACGGAAUAAGGAGCAGAGCUAUUACGUAAGUUUUCUGUGACCCUGGAAAAGGAUUUGUUUUCCUUUGAUCUCUCUGCAGAUGCAUGCCAUUCCCAGCCUUCUAAAACAAAGAUUUAUGAUGAGGUUCACCCUAGCACAGAUCUCAUAACAGAUCUUCCCAUCUCUGUUUUGUUGUCACUUAAACACUGGAGGAACAACUUCAUAUUUUAGGUGCACUUUAUCCAUCAGAAACAGAUAAGGUACAACAAAUUCAUAUAAAAAUGAUGAAAGCAACAAUGUUUAGAAAGAAGUUACCUUUGA